rnacentral:rRNA from 1 species
ACGCACGCUGGCGGCGUGCUUAACACCUGCAAGUCGAACGGAAAGGCCCUGCUUUUGUGGGGUGCUCGAGUGGCGAACGGGUGAGUAACACGUGAGUAACCUGCCCUUGACUUUGGGAUAACUUCAGGAAACUGGGGCUAAUACCGGAUAGGAGCUCCUGCUGCAUGGUGGUGGGUUGGAAAGUUUCGGCGGUUGGGGAUGGACUCGCGGCUUAUCAGCUUGUUGGUGGGGUAGUGGCUUACCAAGGCUUUGACGGGUAGCCGGCCUGAGAGGGUGACCGGCCACAUUGGGACUGAGAUACGGCCCAGACUCCUACGGGAGGCAGCAGUGGGGAAUAUUGCACAAUGGGCGGAAGCCUGAUGCAGCAACGCCGCGUGCGGGAUGACGGCCUUCGGGUUGUAAACCGCUUUCGCCUGUGACGAAGCGUGAGUGACGGUAAUGGGUAAAGAAGCACCGGCUAACUACGUG